GAAUGACACCCUUCCUCCCUCCUGUUUAGGAUUCACUGUGCCUCAGGGCACUGGGCCCCCAAAGUGGGGUUUGCAGACUAAUUCCAGACAUGCGGCUGCUGAUCCGAAGACACUGAGAUGGCUGGAGAUUCCUGGAUUAGACUGCUCUGUACUCUUCUCUCUUAAACCUGCUUCCUAAUUCUCCAAAUGCUAAAUUCAGAAAAGAAAGAUCAGGCCUGUACUCACACAAGACAUGGAGCUGGAUGGUAGUGGUUUUGAUGAACCGCUGACCCUGAACCUCCAAAGAGGCCUCACAGGAGAAAUUUCGGCCAUCGUCUUCUUCCCUGGUGAUUUCUUCGUCAGCUCCAGUAAAUGUUCCUAGAAACAAGUUCAAGGAUCCACAAUCGCUGUCUAAGUAGGAUGGCCUAGGGAAACAGGGUGAAGGCUAGAUAGAACUAACUGUCUCAAUGCGUGUCUCCCAUCUGCCUGCACUUAUCAAAGAAAGAUGAAGACUACUGUUCACUGGAGAGGGUGCCUAGUAAAGGUUAGCAGGGAGGUGUGCAGUCAAAAGCCUUUACUGUAGAAGUUUUCAGUGGGGAAGGAAAGAGGCCGGUAACUUACUAUAGA